CUUGUGAUUUUGUGCACUCUCUCUACGUGCACUUGGCUGCCUGCAGAGUUUGGGCUGCAGGAAAACUUGGGCGCAGCGGGAGCGGCUCCCCUUCUCCUGCCUGCCUGGGGCUGCUCAGCCGCUCCUCCUCUCUCUCACGACGGCCCCUGCCCUUCCCAGCACAGCGUGUGCCUCCCAGGCCAGCACCGUCGGCAGAGAUUUUUGAAGUUGCUGUUCCGCAUCCAUUCUGCUAUAAUUACACUAGCAUCCCUUGUCCCUGCUGUGCUGCUUCUGAAAAUGUGGCACAAGGAGCACCCGUGAGGACAGGAGAGACCCCCGGAAGGACAGCCUGUCCUGACCUGUUGGCUGUGAGGCUGAGCAAAGCAAGCGUCCCCGGCCCUGCUUUGGCAGCACGCACCGUCCCCUUGGCUCGGAGCGCGGAACCCUGCUCAGCAGCUUCGGUCCGCUCUGGCAGAAGACUUGACUUCUUAUUGGCUGCUACUCCAUCUCGGGAACUUACAGUGAUUGCUGGCGGGAGCUCGUGGCCUCUGUUCUCACACAGAGGUGUGUUCGAGAUGGUAAAAGACAAAGCCGGAGACCCCUUCCGGCCCGGCCACGCCUCAAACACAGUUUUGUAACCCCUUAGCAUUUUCCUCCUUUCUGCAGAGAGCCUAGCAGAGGUGCUCUGAAUGCAGUUAAAUUUUAAUCUAUGCGAAUUUUAACAGAGCCUCGGUUUCCUUAUGUGAUGGAGACAUCUAUUUAUAAUAUUUACCUCCUGGGAAUGUUUGCAAAAUGAAAUGUGAGCCUGUAUGGAACAUGCUUUGUGAACGCAGAUGUUGUAAUUCGGGACUCCUUAGGAAUUGGACUGGAGACUGUCACUCCUAAAGCUGCAAUGUGGCUGGGAAGAGCAGAGGAACUUAUUCAAAUGCACAUUCCCAGGUUCUGUUUCUGGAUUCUGACCACAGGCACACAGUUAGUGACUGAUUCCGGAAGGAGGUAGAAGGAGACGCUUGGCUUACUUUGUUGAUCAAGCAAGGUCUAGCUGGCCUUGAACUCAUGCUGAUCCUCCUGCUUCAGCCUCCUGAUCGCUGGAUCAUGGGCAUGCAGCACCACGCCCAGCUGCAACUGGCUUUUACUGAUGAGAAUUGACAACCUGAGAGGGAUAACACAGAAGAUCACACUGAGAAUUGUUUCAGCUUGUGCAGGCUGCCAUGACAAAAUGCCAUAAACCUUGUGGCUUAAACAACAGGACUUUAUUUCCUCCAAGUUGCGGAGGCUGGGAGUCCGGGUGCCAGCAGGGUUCUCACGAGGCUUCUGUUCUUACCCGGAAGCUCUUGCUGACCAUGGCCACUGUACCCAGGAAGUCCUAUGCAGAGGGACACUGUGAAAAGGUACAUCCAGUAGUCAGUCUCAAAUUGACCUGACGGUUCUUUGCUGGUGAUGUGCACUGUAUCGUAUGUGAGCCUCGAGGUCUUCCUAGUUGACGUCCCUGUUUCCCUCCUUAGAAGUUCUCUCCCUCCCCACAUUCUCUCCCCCGACCUUGCUGCUGUGUACCCAUCCUGUGGGCUUCGGCUUAGACUCCGUGGCUUGGGGAAGCCGCUACCGACUCCCAAGUCAGUGUUAGGUCCCCGGGAUGGCUUUCUGGGCACCCCCGGCUUGUCCCAGCUUAGCAUUUACCGCACUGCAUUGCA